rnacentral:lncRNA from 1 species
ACAAACCAAAAGCACCGGCCAAAAGCAAGUAUUAUUAAUAUACUUCAUGAAUAUUAAACAGUCUGUUCAUAUUUAUUAUUAAAUAUUUCAUAUUUGAGGAAAUAUUAAUUUUAAGUUUUAUUUACAGUCAGUGUUUAUUAAAUAGGACAGUUUGGGGGUUUAUUUAUUAAUAAGAGCUGAUUAAUGAGGGGAUUUUAAUGAAAUUAAUUAGGGUAAAGCUCUGUAAAGUGUGCCGCUGGUUAGGAGGGGUGAGAGGUGAAAGGGCGUCAGAGGUAAGAUGGUGAAUCCAGACCCAUGCUCAGGAAGUGGAUAAGACAGAUUGAAGGUGUGUCAACGUCAAGCAUGUACAUAUUGUUUUAAAAGCUGCAAAAUUCAGUGGUUCUGGUCUAAACAAGGUCAUUCAGAGUUGUAGAGAGAGCUCUAACUAGUUGACAGUGGUGGUAAAUAUACAAUAUUCUAUCUUAGUCAGGCACAGAUGCUUAACCCUGCUUGCACUGGGUAGCAUACUGGUUAAUAUGUCCAGGGGCUCAAAACAAAUUUAACAAAGUUGAUACUGAUGUACUGGUUCAUACUUCAUUUGUUUUAAUAUUGUUGUUGUUCUUAUGCGCACAUUAGCCAAAAUGAUCAACUUGUGGUACCUACUGUAGUAGGAUGAAAAAUAAACGACUUAAGUACAUCAACCAAUUUCAUUUUCAUUUGCUUUGUUACCAACAACCACUGAAAAUUGCAACAGAUAACUCUUCAGUGUUUCAUUUUAAGAAGGCUUUUUGUAAUUAACAUUUUUGAAGGCUGUUUAAAGUAAAAGCAUACACAAUUUUUCUCCAAUAUGUGCUUUUAUUUUUGUAUAUUGUUGUUUCUCACAUUAAGCUGUUCAGUUUCAGUUCUGCAGUCAUUAUAGGCCUGUUGCAGUUUCAAAUUGUCCAUUGUUUAUAAAUCUGCUUUGUAUAUUUUCAUCUGAGAUUUGUAAUGUCAGCAAGCUCAUCUUUAUUAUCUGUUUUCUUUCUUUGUACAGACAAAAUCAAAGCACCAGCCAAAAAUACAGCAAAGCGUAAAGCAGGCGCCAAGCCUAGUAAAAAGUGUGUAAAAGGCUACAUCCACAAUGUAUCUAAAAUAAUGCUUUCGGUCAAAAAAAACAAAUACUUCACUGCUCUGUUCCAAGAGGCAAAAACCUGUUCCAAACUUUUGGUUUUCAAAGAGGAGCAUCAUCAGGAGUAUGUUUCAGCUGAGGAAAAUCGAAUUCCAGUAAAACUGGAAAACAUCACGCGCCAGCGUACAGGUGAAAAGGACAUUAUAGCUGGGUGGGAUUCCAAGCUUUCCUCCUUGAAAAAAUUACCUUUUUCAUUUGAUGCCACCAAGAAACAAGAAACCAACGCUGAACACAAGAAAAUUCGAGACAUUCUUAAAAACCCCAUCAUCAGUCAACAAGUUCAUGUGACUGUAAAAAUAAAGAAACAACUAGAGAACGAAAUAAAAAUGACAAAGGCAAAAAAAAAUGUGAAAUGA